AGUGAACGCUGGCGGUAGGCCUAACACAUGCAAGUCGAACGGCAGCACAGUAAGAGCUUGCUCUUACGGGUGGCGAGUGAUGGACGGGUGAGGAAUACAUCGGAAUCUACUUUUUCGUGGGGGAUAACGUAGGGAAACUUACGCUAAUACCGCAUACGACCUACGGGUGAAAGCAGGGGAUCUUCGGACCUUGCGCGAUUGAAUGAGCCGAUGUCGGAUUAGCUAGUUGGCGGGGUAAAGGCCCACCAAGGCGACGAUCCGUAGCUGGUCUGAGAGGAUGAUCAGCCACACUGGAACUGAGACACGGUCCAGACUCCUACGGGAGGCAGCAGUGGGGAAUAUUGGACAAUGGGCGCAAGCCUGAUCCAGCCAUACCGCGUGGGUGAAGAAGGCCUUCGGGUUGUAAAGCCCUUUUGUUGGGAAAGAAAAGCAGCAGGUUAAUACCCCGCUGUUCUGACGGUACCCAAAGAAUAAGCACCGGCUAACUUCGUG
rnacentral:rRNA from 1 species